UACGUAGGGGGCAAGCGUUGUCCGGAAUUAUUGGGCGUAAAGCGCGCGCAGGCGGCUGUUUAAGUUCGGUGUUUAAGCCCGGGGCUCAACCCCGGUUCGCACCGGAAACUGGAUGGCUUGAGUGCAGGAGAGGUGAGUGGAAUCCCCAGUGUAGCGGUGAAAUGCGUAGAUAUUGGGGGGAACACCAGUGGCGAAGGCGGCUCACUGGACAGACACCGACGCUGAGGCACGAAAGCUAGGGGAGCAAACAGG
rnacentral:rRNA from 1 species